rnacentral:tRNA from 1 species
GAGGGUUUAGCUCAAAUGGUAGAGUGCAUGCUUAGCAUGCACAAGGUUCUGGGUUCAAUCCCCAGUACCUCCU